CGUGGGGAGCGCGCGGGCGCGGAGCAGCGCGCGCGGCGCGGACCGAGCAGCGGCGGCGGCGGCGGGAGAGGAGAACGGGGGGUCCCGGGCACAGCUCCGGGCGGUGCAAACACACAUCACACCCCCUGCCACCACCAGCCUCCGCUUCUGGUUUUUUUGUUUUGUUUUUUGUUUUUUGUUUUUUUGUUUUUCCCUCCCAAACCUCUCCGAAAACGAGCGAAGAGAUCUUGGAAAAAAAAAUGCGCCUUUUAUGUAUAUAUAUAUAUGCAUAUAUAUAUAUAUAUAUAGAUAGAUAUAGGUAUUUUAAAUUAUCAUUUAUCUUUUAUUUAUUUUUUAUUUAUUUAUUUUGGGGCGGGGGGUCACUUUCGCGUUUCUAAAACACCCUCCCCCCCAAAAAAAAUACCCUAAACCAACCAAACAACCCAGCGAGCAAAGCCAGGAGCCAGCUGCAUUGUUCUGGAUUUUUACUUUUUUUCUUUAAUUAUUUUUUCCCUCAUUCAGCUUUUUUUUAUAAAUAUUUUUUUGCAAACAGCCACACUCGGCUCAGGGCCUCCAAUGGGAUUUACUCUUGGGGAAAGAAGCUUUUUCCUUAAAGACGGUUCCCCAUGAACUCCCGAUAUUCAUUUUUGGUUUUAUUUUUAAUUUUUUCUUCUUCUUUUUUUUUUUUUAAUUUCUUUACCAGAAUCCUUCAGACAUAAAAAAAAAAAAAAAAUUGAUGAUUUUUUCUUCCUUUAUUUUUUUUCCAUCCGUGUUCUCUUUUCCUUUCCAGGACACUGAAGUGGUGGGUUAAUUCUGUGUAGCUGUUUUGUUAUUGUUGCAAAAUAACCUGAGCAAGAUAUCUGCCUGUCUCCUGCCUGAUCUCCCAAACUGGCUGAGCAUAAACAGCACUUCUCGGAAGAUCUGUCAGCGUUCAGAUGUUACAAUGAAAAAAACCUCACUAACCCCUACAGAUACUUCUCUGAUUAGGAGUUGUGCUGAGGUAGUUCAAACCCAAGCUCUCAUCGGCUCUUCUGAAUUUUGCAGCUCAUUUCUCAUUCCUUCUCCCUCAAUAAAAACACUUUUCAUCAGAAAACUUGAUACUUUUCUUCCUUCCGAGCCUCCCUGCGAAUUGCCUCUCUCCCUCCAGACAAGUUUCGAGGAUCAACAAGUUAACCUACUGAAAGAUUACAAAGGUACAAGUGGGCUGCUUAAGAGGUGAAUCAUUAAACGUAAGGUGAAGUAUACGACUGCAGAAGGUUUCAAUUAAAGUGACAGUCGAGGCAGCCUUUGCCUGCCCGGGAAGGUUUGCUUUUAUCGUCAGAGCCCUGCUGGGAGCUGUGUCCAUCCCAGGCAGAGAGGUUUGGUUCCCAGUGUCCGCAUUCUGCAUUCCCAGGUCUGCUGCUGCCCCAGUCCUCACUCCUGAAACAACUCCACCGGUUUCAGCGUGAUAAAUUCGACUGUGACAGCGUUAAAAUAUGGGAAAGGAGCCAGAUCUCCUUCAUGUCCCAUUCAGGCUGGAAUCAAGGAGUCCUCCUCGGAACUGCCUUCACCCAAUGCUCCUCAUUACCACGUCCGGAGGAAGAGCAGGAUCGAGCCCACAACCUUCCCCAUUACUUCCCAAAUCCUUCUCGCCCCUACUUAUUUUUAUGUUUUUAAAUUAGUUUUGGUUUAAUAUCACAGUAUAUUUAAUGAGCAGCUCCAGGGUGGAGGGAGAAAUGUGAGAUCCUUGCUGGGUGGUGGAAAUCCUGCCCCGCUGCUGCCUUGUCCCCACAUCCCUGCGUCUGCUCGGCGUCGGGUACCCCUACUUCUCCUGCCAAAUGUCUCAUGGGUGCCCAGGGACUGUUUGCCCUGACACAGAGCCUGUGUCCAUGCACAGAGGGUAAGGCACAGACAACCAGUCCACGGGCAACUGCCCCUCAUGGAGGUUCCGCGUGCUUGGAAGCAGUAUGUGCAAUGCUGGGCUUUUUUUUCCUGGCUUUUUGGAGUACAGACAGCACAGUGGUAAGGCAGGAGCUAGAAAGGGGUCAGGCUAGAUAUUGUCCUGACAUGGAGCAAUGCUGUGACAUUUUUUGUCACUUCACUGAUUUAAAUUUUAAGUAUUUCUGAGUUUUAUAUUUUGCUCUGACUUGUUCCCAUAUGGCAGCCCCGAGUGUGGAUGAUAUCCUCUCCACAAGGAUGCUCCAGCGAUUGGGUUAAUUCCCUCCUACUAAUUCCUUACAUAAUCAUGCGGGCUCAGAUCCUCAAAAGUAUUUGUGUGCCUGCCUCCCUUGGAAAUCAGAGAGUUUAAUUGUCUGCUAAAAUUAUUGUGUUUUGUUUUGAAAGCAGAGGAGGAAAUAACAAACUUGGAUUUUAUGAGAUUUGUUUGCCUCUCUGUGGUCACAGAGCACUUUUUUUACCUUUGCAAAUGAAUUUCCUGUUAAAUAACGUAGAGCCCAGAUUACAGAUGGGUUUUUAGACAGUGACCAACAGGAACUUGAGUGCCAGCAGAGGUUAGGGAAGCUGGGUCUUGGCCCUAUGGUACUUCUGGUCCUGGUUAGUAAAAUGUGUGUAGGACAAUGGCAGAGUCUUGAAGAAAUGCUGGAGGGAAGAAUCCAUUAAAGCCUGUGAGAUGCUGAGAUAGGAGGAUAAUAGAGAUCACGUCAGUGAGAGAUGCCAUCUAUUACAGAUAACGAUUGCACAGCUGACUGCAUCUCCCCCUCUGGAGAUGGCUCCUUUCUUAGUUUCAUUUUUGGUUGUACAACCCAAAAGAAUUCUUCUCACUCCUUGGCAUUUGUCCCCUUCAGAUAUUUCAUGCAAUACGGAAGAGGGAGGAAUCAAAAUUCCAUGACAUUGAAGUUCAUUGCCGAUUCUGCUCACGUCAGUUGAAAUCAGUCACUAAAACCUCAGCCCGCAGGACCCCGUGCUCUGUAUUUUUCUAGUCUAGGUAAUCGCGAUGGCAGCAGGGGGAGGUAAGUAGAAGGAAAAAAGAACUGAUUUCAUUAGGUGUUAGAGGAGCUUAUUAGAAAACAGGAGGAAAAAAAAGCAAUAAAAUUAUGAAGACGGGAAUUAAAACAAGUGAUGAAAUCCAGUCUCUGCUGACUGCAAGGGGACACUUCUCACGCACCCUUUCUUGGUUUGGAAGAUGCCCAGGCAUUGAUAAACAUUUUACGAGAAUUCAACUCCACAGCAGCAAGCGGCGGCGAAUACCAAGAGAAAAUAUACUCGUGUGCCAGGAUCAGCCCAGCAGCUUCAGAGGCAGCGUUUAACCUGCUGUCUCACAGCCUCUGGGCCCUGUUUGGGUUUGUUGUCAGCCAGCAAUCUGGAUCUGCACUAUACCUGGGUUAUAUUUAGGACAAUUAAAUUAAUUGCUGGAACAGACAACCCUUUUUAGACCCAAGGCGCUUUGCCCCCCUUCUCGAUACCGUAGGGCUGAUGUAGUGAUUCUGGGGCUUUGGCUUGGCAGUCAGAGCAAGUGUGUGUUUUAUGUAAGAAGCAGCAGUGGGGAUGGAUGCUGCUAGACAAAUAUUUGGUUAAUUUUUGUAAUUAUUAGUAAUAACAAUACUCUGCUUUCUCAAGCACCUUUCAUGUCUGGGUGCUUUUGAAACACUGGUAAAGCCAAGGGAUGGAGCUUUAUUCUAGGGGCUGUAAUUAGCUUUAGCUCCACUUUGUAGAUGUGGAAAGUGAGGUGGAGGGAGGUGAGAGGAUUUGAGGUACAGCAGAGUUGGGGGGCAGUGCCCUGAGCAGCAGCCAGCAAGAACCACCAGAAGUAAAGCUCUGCCAGCCUCUUGGUUGACCUGUUCUGAGAGACAAGCUCAUCUCACCACACUGUGCUGAUAUUUGGGCCAGCUCCUGAGCCAGGAGCCUGAACUUUUCCUCCUAGGAGGUUCAAAUAUACCCUGUCCAGGAGGAUAUCCCUUGGCCACCUGCCCCACCUGCCCGUGUCAUCUCCUGUCAUUGUCAGAAGUGAUGGGACAAGAUGGUUUCAUGUAGUUCCUCUUCCCAACCCUCCUCCUGACUGGGCUCCGUGUGCCCAGGGGAUGAGAAGGGUCCCUCAGUGACCAAGAACAGGAGGGACCUGCUGGGCUUUGGAGCCUGGUCCCCACAGGCCUGGGUUACCACAUCCUCUUUGGCCAGGUUGGCUUUUUGCCUCUGCCUGCCUGUCACAAGACCUCUUUCCCCACAUGGUUAGGGUGUUUCUUCCAGUUUCCUCCCUGAGCUGGUUCGCAGACCAUUGGUCCCCCACCAUGCUUAGGUCAGCUCUGUACCAGCUUUGCCCUUUUGCUCUGGUCUGCUCUAGAUCUCUUGGACAUCUGUGUCCAGGCUGUGUUUGUCUUGGUAACAAAUAAGUAGCAAACUCAAGAAUUUGCCAUUAUCCCUUAGGAAACUCACUAUUUCAUUCCAAAAUGAAUCCUCUGAGAUUUCCAGGCAUGGAUUGUUAUUUGCAUGGGCUCUUCUAGUCUGCACCUUCCUCUAGUAGGGUCAUGUCAUGUUAGCUAGGAUCUAAAACAAGGAUGGGUAAGUUCUAAAU